GGUAGCUAUGUAUGGACGGGAUAAGUGCUGAAAGCAUCUAAGCAUGAAGCCCCCCUCAAGAUGAGAUUUCCCAACUUCGGUUAUAAGAUCCCUCAAAGAUGAUGAGGUUAAUAGGUUCGAGGUGGAAGCGUAGCGAUACGUGGAGCUGACGAAUACUAAUCGAUCGAAGACUUAAUCAAUUU
rnacentral:rRNA from 1 species